GCAAGUGUAGUUUAAACAAAACAUUAGGUUGUGAUCCUAAAAACAGGAGUUAGAUCCUUCUCACUUGCC
rnacentral:tRNA from 1 species